GGAACAAGAUCAACGGCGUUACAACGACCUCAGCCGUCCACUAAGAAUUAGACGCCCACGAUCUCAGCCACCGCCAGCGCCGGCUCCGCGGUGCCCAAUUCCUCAAACCCUAGAGCCAAAUCCCCCAUUUGGCCGCGCCUAACAGAGCCGGAUUUACUCGGCGCUGGCUGGUGCGAGCGGCGAAUCGAGUCCCCUCCCGUGCACUGCUCCGCAUGUCGCACCGCGUGUACGCAUGAACUCGUCCAUGGACGAGAUCAACCUGCUACGGCAGCACCAGCGACACCAGCAGCACCACCUGUCGGUGCGCGGCAUCGGUGAGGAGAUCGACCUCGAGAUCGACCAGUGUGAAGAUCCCACUUUCUCGGGCGCCGCACUCGAGGGCGUGACCUCCCAUCACCCUCAAGACCCCGUCGUCCCUGCCGAUGACCACAAGAGCUUCCUCAUCCCGUGCUCGCAGCCUGGCUCAGUGGACGGCCAACCGCAGCCCACGCCACCGCAAGCAGAGGAACGGGCAGGGAUGCUGAGGCUGUCGGCGCAUACCAAGAAGAAGAAGAAGGUGGUCAAGAAAUGGAGGGAUGAGUGGGCGGACACAUACAAGUGGGCCUAUGUGGCCGUGCACGACAACACCAGCAGAAUCUUCUGCACCGUCUGCAAGGAGUAUGGCCGCAAGCAUCGCCGGAACCCCUAUGGGAACGAGGGGAGCAGGAACAUGCAGAUGAGUGCGCUAGAGGAGCACAACAAUAGCUUGCUGCAUAGGGAGGCGCUCCGGCUGCAGUCAGCCUCCAAGGAGAAGGUGCAAACUCCUGAGAUAGAGAGGCUGGUUUAUGUCAAAGCUUUGUCGAAAACAGCAGCUUCAAUACUUGAAUCUCUCUUCAAGAAGGACCCUUAUGAAGCUGAAUUUAUACAGUCUAUACAGGAGGUGGUUCAUUCUAUAGAACCAGUUUUGGUGAAGAACUCACAAUAUGUUCAGAUAUUGGAGCGUUUAUUAGAACCUGAGAGAUGUUUUAUCUUCAGAGUGCCAUGGGUUGAUGACAGAGGUGAAGCUCAUGUGAAUCGUGGUUUCCGUGUGCAGUUCAGUCAGGCUUUAGGUCCAUGCAGAGGUGGUCUCCGUUUCCACCCGUCCAUGAACUUAAGUGUGGCAAAGUUUCUAGCUUUUGAGCAGACUCUGAAGAAUGCUCUGUCACUAUAUAAACUUGGAGGUGCUGCUGGAGGGAGCGAUUUUGAUCCAAAGGGUAAAAGUGAAAUUGAGGUAUUCGUGUUGUAUUUUAUUUCCUCUGGGCAACAAUAUUUACUGCAUGUAAAUAUGGAUAUUUUUCCAUGCCAGGUAAUGCGCUUUUGUCAAAGUUUCAUGGAUGAGCUGUAUAGAUACUUGGGCCCUGAUCAGGAUUUUCCUGCUGAAGAUGUUGGUGUUGGUCCAAGGGAAAUGGGUUUCCUUUUUGGGCAGUACAGACGCCUUUCUGGUCAUUUUCAGGGAAAUUUUACAGGGCCUAAGAUCUUCUGGUCUGGUUCUAGUUUUAGAACAGAGGCUACUGGAUACGGGCUGGUAUUUUUUGCACGUGUUGUACUUGCUGAUAUGAAUAAGGAGCUCAAAGGAUUAAGAUGCGCGAUAAGUGGUUCAGGAAAGAUAGCAAUGCAUGUCUUGGAAAAGCUUCUGUCGUGUGAAGCUAUUCCUGUUACAGUCUCAGAUUCAGAAGGCUAUCUAUUUGAUGGAGACGGGUUUGAUUAUGUGAAAUAUACACUUAUAAGGAAUAUUAAGGCACAACAAAGGAGCCUCAAGGAAUACUUGAAAACAUUUCCACGUGCCAAAUAUAUCAAUGAUGCUAAGCCAUGGGGUGAGCAGUGUGAUAUUGCAUUCCCUUGUGCAUCACAAAAUGAGAUUGACCAGGGGGAGGCUCUUUCAAUAAUUAGCUCUGGUUGCCGUGUUCUUAUAGAAUGUUCAAACAUGCCAUGCACUGGUCAAGCAGUUGAUAUCCUAAGAAAGGCAAAAGUCCAUGUUGCUCCAGCAAAGGCAACUGCUGCUGGUAGCAGUUGGUGAACUUGAACUGAAUCCAGAGUUCAGCUUAAUGCAGUGGUCAGUAGAGGAUUUCGAGAACAAAAUACAGGAAGCAGUAAAGCAAACAUAUGACAGGUCGAUGAAAGCUGCUCAAGAAUAUGGAAUCCUGAAAGAGAACCCAGAGUCUUUGGUGCAUGGUGCAAACAUAUCGGCCUUCCUGAACAUUGCACAAGCCAUGACUGAUCAAGGAUGUGUGUAGUUAAGCGUUUUUGUUCUGUCAAGAAGCAGAAUUUGACAUCCCUGCAGGCUGCAGCCAUGAUCUCUGGUUGUACUGUGGUUGCUGCAGCCAUUUGACGUUUAUUCGUAGCCUCCCUCACAGAUCACUGUUUUACGUUUAUUGGUAGCCUCCCUCACAGAUCAAUUUUAUGUUUAGGCCUUGUCAAAGCUUUCCUCUGGUAUGAAGGAAAAGCUUAGAUCUAUUUAGAGUAUAGAAGUGUUUCCUGUUGUAGAUCCCCCAUGUAUUUAUUCAUUACUGCCAACAUCAAUGCUUGAAGAAGGAAAUGUUCCUUUUUUGUGUGAA